UUCUUUUAUCCUUUAAAUUUAUUAUUUUAUCUUGAUAUGUACAGUAUAAAGUUUUUAUGUCCCAAGUGUGAACAUCAUUUCUAGCAAUACACAUAAAACAAGCUGAGAGGAAAAAAAAACAUCUUUUGAUUACAGUUUUACCAAAUAGUUUAAAUAACCAUGAUUUCAAAAUGUAUCUAUAACACUGUAAAAGAUAAUGUACCCUAAGUGAUUAAAUCUAACAGAAACCUUCAAGUUAAACAAUAAAAAGCUGUAUCCUACUCUAAAAUAUGAAGCAAGUAUAAAGGCUGACUAUUAAAAGUGUUAGA